GUAGUCAUAUGCUUGUCUCAAAGAUUAAGCCAUGCAUGUCUAAGUAUAAGCAAUUAUACCGCGAAACUGCGAAUGGCUCAUUAUAUAAGUUAUCGUUUAUUUGAUAGUACCUUACUACUUGGAUAACCGUGGUAAUUCUAGAGCUAAUACAUGCUAAAAAUCCCGACUUCGGAAGGGAUGUAUUUAUUAGAUUAAAAGCCAAUGCCCUCUGGGCUCUCUGGUGAUUCAUGAUAACUUCUCGAAUCGCAUGGCCUUGCGCCGGCGAUGGUUCAUUCAAAUUUCUUCCCUAUCAACUUUCGAUGUUUGGGUAUUGGCCAAACAUGGUUGCAACGGGUAACGGAGGGUUAGGGCUCGACCCCGGAGAAGGAGCCUGAGAAACGGCUACUACAUCCAAGGAAGGCAGCAGGCGCGCAAAUUACCCAAUCCCGACACGGGGAGGUAGUGACAAUAAAUACUGAUACAGGGCUCUUUUGGGUCUUGUAAUUGGAAUGAGUACAAUUUAAAUCCCUUAACGAGGAACAAUUGGGGGGCAAGUCUGGUGCCAGCAGCC
rnacentral:rRNA from 1 species